UUCGUAGGCGGCAUGGUAGGUGGGGUGUGAAAUCCCUCGGCUCAACCGAGGAACUGCGCCUCAAACCAUCAUGCUUGAGGGAGAUAGAGGUGAGCGGAACUGAUGGUGGAGCGGUGAAAUGCGUUGAUAUCAUCAGGAACACCGGUGGCGAAAGCGGCUCACUGGGUCUCUUCUGACGCUGAGGAACGAAAGCUAGGGGAGCGAACG
rnacentral:rRNA from 1 species